AUAAACAUACACACAUAGAAAUAGACAAAUUAAUAUCUCAAAUUGAGCGCCUAGGCGAGGGCCUUCCGAAUUGGUUUCAGCAUGAUGGGGCCCCAAGCCAUUUUGCCACAACUGUUAGAGAUUGGCUUAAUGACACUU